rnacentral:snoRNA from 1 species
UUGGGGAUGAAGAAAAAAAAUCAGACGGAUUCCCACUGAGUUUUGUCUGUGAUAUGAAAUAACCAGCUACUUCUGACCCAG